AAGCUAUGAUGUGGGCACUUUCUCAAUAAGUCUUUGAAUCUCUCCCAAGCUUCAUACAAACUCUCUUGAUCAUGGUGGGCACAAGUCAUUAUCUCAUUGUGAAGCUU
rnacentral:snoRNA from 1 species